rfam:Cucumis sativus cultivar 9930 chromosome 6, whole genome shotgun sequence.
GUUUGGCUUUGAUGAUUGAACUUCAGCUUCUAAUGCCAGUUCUGCUUCAGAAUUUGAUGAUUGACAAAGCUGUUUCUUUAAUCUGAGCCUUC